rnacentral:tRNA from 1 species
AUCUAAAUAGCUUAUAUAGAGUAUGACAUUGAAGAUGUUAGGGAGAUAGUUUGAAUCUUUAGAUA